UACGUAGGGUGCGAGCGUUAAUCGGAAUUACUGGGCGUAAAGCGUGCGUAGGCGGUUGUCUAAGUUUGGUGUGAAAUCUCCUGGCUUAACUGGGAGGGUGCGCCGAAAACUGGGUGACUGGAGUGUCGGAGAGGUAAGCGGAAUUCCUGGUGUAGCGGUGAAAUGCGUAGAGAUCAGGAGGAACACCUGUGGUGUAGACAGCUUACUGGACGAUAACUGACGCUGAGGCACGAAAGCGUGGGUAGCAAACAGG
rnacentral:rRNA from 1 species